GGGCCUGUAGCUAUAUGGUUAGAGCCGGCCGCUCAUAACGGUCGGGUCGGGGGUUCAAGUCCCUCCGGGCCCACCA
rnacentral:tRNA from 1 species